rnacentral:rRNA from 1 species
UUGCGGUUAAAAAGCUCGUAGUUGGAUUUCUGCUGAGGACGACCGGUCCGCCCUCCGGGUGAGCAUCUGGUUCGGCCUUGGCAUCUUCUUGGUGAACGUAUCUGCACUUGACUGUGUGGUGCGGUACCCAGGACUUUUACUUUGAGGAAAUUAGAGUGUUUCAAGCAGGCAUACGCCUUGAAUACAUUAGCAUGGAAUAAUAAGAUAGGACCUCGGUUCUAUUUUGUUGGUUUCUAGAGCUGAGGUAAUGAUUAAUAGGGAUAGUUGGGGGCAUUCGUAUUUAACUGUCAGAGGUGAAAUUCUUGGAUUCGUUAAAGACGGACUACUGCGAAAGCAUUUGCCAAGGAUGUUUUCAUUGAUCAAGAACGAAAGUUAGGGGAUCGAAGACGAUCAGAUACCGUCCUAGUCUUAACCAUAAACCAUGCCGACUAGAGAUUGGAGGUCGUUAUCUUUACGACUCCUUCAGCACCUUAUGAGAAAUCAGAGUCUUUGGGCUCCGGGGGGAGUAUGGU